rnacentral:miRNA from 1 species
AGGAAUUCUAAAGCAAAAA